GACGAACGCUGGCGGCGUGCUUAACACAUGCAAGUCGAACGGAAAGGCCCUGCUUUUGUUGGUUUCUCGAGUGGCGAACGGGUGAGUAACACGUGAGUAACCUGCCCUUGACUUUGGGAUAACUUCAGGAAACUCGGGCUCAUACCGGAUAUGAUCUCCUGCUGCAUGGUGUUGGUUGGAAAGUUUCGGCGGUUGUGGAUGGUCUCGCGGCUUAUCAGCUUGUUGGUGUGGUAGGUGCUUACCAAGGCUUUGACGGGUAGCCGGCCUGAGAGGGUUAACGGCGACAUUGGGACUGAGAUAGGGCGCAGACGCCUACGGGAGGCAGCAGGGGGGAAUAUUGCAGAAUGGGCGGAAGCGUGAGACAGAAACGCCGGGUGCGGGAUGACGGGCUUCGGGUUGUAAACCGCUUUCGACUGAGACGAAGCGGGAGUGACGGUAAUGGGUAAAGAAGCACCGGCUAACUACGUG
rnacentral:rRNA from 1 species